UGGGGAAUAUUGCACAAUGGGCGAAAGCCUGAUGCAGCGACGCCGCGUGAGGGAUGACGGCCUUCGGGUUGUAAACCUCUUUCAGUAGGGACGAAGCGCAAGUGACGGUACCUGCAGAAGAAGCACCGGCUAACUACGUGCCAGCAGCCGCGGUAAUACGUAGGGUGCGAGCGUUGUCCGGAAUUACUGGGCGUAAAGAGCUCGUAGGCGGUUUGUCACGUCGUCUGUGAAGUCCUAGGGCUUAACCCUGGACGUGCAGGCGAUACGGGCUGACUUGAGUACUACAGGGGAGACUGGAAUUUCUGGUGUAGCGGUGGUAUGCACAGAUAUCAGGAAGAACACCGAUGGCGAAGGCAGGUCUCUGGGUAGUAACUGACGCUGAGGAGCGAAAGCAUGGGUAGCGAACAGG
rnacentral:rRNA from 1 species